rnacentral:snRNA from 1 species
GUACUUGUUUUGGCAGAAUAUUUACUAAAAUUGGAAAUACACAGAGAAGAUUAACAUGGUCCCUGUGCAAAGAUGACAUGGAAAUACUGCAAGCAAUCCAUAAUCUU